rnacentral:misc_RNA from 1 species
AAAGUCGUAACAAGGUUUCCGUAGGUGAACCUGCGGAAGGAUCAUUAAUGAAUAACUUUGGCGUGGUUGUAGCUGGCUCCUAGGAGUAUGUGCACACCCGUCAUCUUUAUCUUUCCACCUGUGCACACAAUGUAGAUCUGGAUAACUCUCGCUCUUCGGAGCGGAAACAAGGAUUGCUGCGUCGCAAGACCGGCUCUCUUUGAAUUUCCAGGUCUAUGUCUUUUACAAACCCCAAUUGAAAAAUGCAGAAUGUCAUCAAUGGGCUCUAAGCCUAUAAAACUAAUACAACUUUCAGCAACGGAUCUCUUGGCUCUC